AACGAACGCUGGCGGCGCGUCUUACCAUGCAAGUCGAGCGGCAGGCAGCAAUGCCCGAGAGCGGCGGACUGGUGAGUAACACGUGGAUAACGUACCCCGAUGUCCGGGACAGCCUGUAGAAAUGAGGGUAAUACCGGAUAGAUCACUGUUUACGUGAGGUAGACAGCGGGAAAGGAGCUUCGGCUCCGCGACGGGAUCGGUCUGCGGCCCAUCAGCUAGACGGCGGGGUAAAGGCCCGCCGUGGCGAGGACGGGUAUCCGGCCUGAGAGGGCGGACGGACACAUUGGGACUGAGAUACGGCCCAGACUCCUACGGGAGGCAGCAGGUAAGAAUAUUCCGCAAUGGGGGGAACCCUGACGGAGCGACGCCGCGUGAACGAAGAAGGCCGGAAGGUUGUAAAGUUCUUUUCUGUCCGAGGAAUAAGUUUCGGAGGAAAUGCCGGGACGGUGAUCGUAGGGCAGGAAUA
rnacentral:rRNA from 1 species